CUCUGACCCCAUCACAUCUUCAUCUCCCUUACCUCUCUUCAACCUUCAAACAACAUCCAUUCCCCACUCUGAAGUCAUCAUGUUCAACGAACCCUUAUCACCAUCCCUCUCAUCUAACCUCAGUUCCCCUCCUUAUUCUGACCCCACUUCUAACUUUGAACACUCUGGUUCAAAUAACCCUGACCCAACCUCCCCAAACCAUGAAGAACUUCAUGCCACGGCUGACUCUGAAAAGACUCCCUCUGUACUUAAACAUUCUGU
rnacentral:lncRNA from 1 species